GAACUACACGGUCUGAAAUGGUUGAUUUUCUGGCUGUGCCAUAUACUAGAGGUCCCUAACAUGGCAGCAAUUCUAAUGAUCCCAAACACAAGGAGCGAGAGGCAAGCAUUCACCUCUCCUCCUGAGAGGUUGUGUGACCAUGUCAUGACUGCAACUCGAGCGAAUGUUUUCAAAUCACUUCAUGUGUAGAGAAAAUAUUGAAGAAAAGAUGUUAUGGUUCGUUCUACUUAAUUGUUUUGUUCUUUGUAAGAUAUUGGAUCACAUUUAAGGAACACAUUUUGGUCUGGGAUCUGUUUCUCUAACUUUUCCUAAAUACUCAAUGGACCUUGUGAGAGAUUGUUC